CUAGUGAGUGCCACAUGUCAU
rnacentral:siRNA from 1 species